AUUGAACGCUGGCGGCAUGCCUAACACAUGCAAGUCGAGCGAGCGGCGGACGGGUGAGUAAUGUAUGGGGACUGCCCGCUAUCGGGGGAUAACUACUGGAAACGGUAGCUAAUACCGCAUACUAUCGGAUACCCCAUAUGGGAUUAGCUAGUAGGUGAGGUAAUGGCUCACCUAGGCGACGAUCCCUAGCUGGUCUGAGAGGAUGAUCAGCCACACGGGGACGGAGAUACGGCCCAGACUCCUACGGAGGCAGCAGUGGGGAAUAUUGCACAAUGGGCGCAAGCCUGUUACAGCCAACCCGCGUGUAUGAUGAAGGCCUUCGGGUUGUAAAGUACUUUUGGCAGAGAAGCGGUAUCUGCAGAAUAAGCACCGGCUAACUACGUGCCAGCAGCCGCGGUAAUAC
rnacentral:rRNA from 1 species